GGGUGAACUUAGAGCCCCAUGGCGAGAUAGUGUUAAUAGUUAGAUCGUGGCCUGGUCUGGCGGUUAGUGAAUC
rnacentral:ncRNA from 1 species